rnacentral:rRNA from 1 species
AGAGUUUGAUCCUGGCUCAGGACGAACGCUGGCGGCGCGCCUAACACAUGCAAGUCGAACGAGCGAGAGAGAGCUUGCUUUCUCGAGCGAGUGGCGAACGGGUGAGUAACGCGUGAGGAACCUGCCUCAAAGAGGGGGACAACAGUUGGAAACGACUGCUAAUACCGCAUAAGCCCACAGCUCGGCAUCGAGCAGAGGGAAAAGGAGCAAUCCGCUUUGAGAUGGCCUCGCGUCCGAUUAGCUAGUUGGUGAGGUAACGGCCCACCAAGGCGACGAUCGGUAGCCGGACUGAGAGGUUGAACGGCCACAUUGGGACUGAGACACGGCCCAGACUCCUACGGGAGGCAGCAGUGGGGAAUAUUGCACAAUGGGGGAAACCCUGAUGCAGCGACGCCACGUGGAGGAAGAAGGUCUUCGGAUUGUAAACUCCUGUUGUUGAGGAAGAUAAUGACGGUACUCAACAAGGAAGUGACGGCUAACUACGUGCCAGCAGCCGCGGUAAAACGUAGGUCACAAGCGUUGUCCGGAAUUACUGGGUGUAAAGGGAGCGCAGGCGGGAAGGCAAGUUGGAAGUGAAAUCCAUGGGCUCAACCCAUGAACUGCUUUCAAAACUGUUUUUCUUGAGUAGUGCAGAGGUAGGCGGAAUUCCCGGUGUAGCGGUGGAAUGCGUAGAUAUCGGGAGGAACACCAGUGGCGAAGGCGGCCUACUGGGCACCAACUGACGCUGAGGCUCGAAAGUGUGGGUAGCAAACAGGAUUAGAUACCCUGGUAGUCCACACUGUAAACGAUGAUUACUAGGUGUUGGAGGAUUGACCCCUUCAGUGCCGCAGUUAACACAAUAAGUAAUCCACCUGGGGAGUACGACCGCAAGGUUGAAACUCAAAGGAAUUGACGGGGGCCCGCACAAGCAGUGGAGUAUGUGGUUUAAUUCGACGCAACGCGAAGAACCUUACCAAGUCUUGACAUCCUGCGACGCACAUAGAAAUAUGUGUUUCCUUCGGGACGCAGAGACAGGUGGUGCAUGGUUGUCGUCAGCUCGUGUCGUGAGAUGUUGGGUUAAGUCCCGCAACGAGCGCAACCCUUAUGGUCAGUUACUACGCAAGAGGACUCUGGCCAGACUGCCGUUGACAAAACGGAGGAAGGUGGGGAUGACGUCAAAUCAUCAUGCCCUUUAUGACUUGGGCUACACACGUACUACAAUGGCGUUAAACAAAGAGAAGCAAGACCGCGAGGUGGAGCAAAACUCAGAAACAACGUCCCAGUUCGGACUGCAGGCUGCAACUCGCCUGCACGAAGUCGGAAUUGCUAGUAAUCGCAGAUCAGCAUGCUGCGGUGAAUACGUUCCCGGGCCUUGUACACAAAGGCCGUCA